rnacentral:lncRNA from 1 species
GCUUCUCACUCUGACUCCAACAGGGUGAGCUUGCUAUCCUUGUGGCACAGGGCCUUUUGCAUUGUGGAUGAUGGAGCGGCUCGUAUAGUCCCUAAGUUUUGUGCGUAGCUGUGUACCCUGUCCCUGUGAGCUGGUUCUGCCCGGCACCUCGGUGACCUCGAGGAAAGAAGCUGAGAGACAGAGUCUUGCUUUGUCACCCAGGCUGGAGGACAGUGGCACCAUCAUAGCUCACUGCGGACUCGAAUUCCUGGGCUCAAGGGAUCCUCCUGCCUCGGCCUCCAAAAAUGGUGAGAUUAUGGACAUGAGACACUGCACUGGGCCUAUUGUGUAUCUUGUUGGCCUAAAAUUGAAACAUGCCUUGUGAGUGUUUACUGCAACUUCAGUGAGUGAUUAUUAUGUUGCCUUUAAUCCUGAGAGACUGUAUUACUUGUGCACUUUUUUUUUGGAUAGGGGGAAAUUAGAUUUAUUCCCUAUAUGUUUUAGAAAAUUGAAGUUUUAAAUAUCAGACUCACUA